CCUACGGGUGGCAGCAGUGGGGGAUAUUGCACAAUGGGGGGAACCCUGAUGCAGCGACGCCGCGUGGGUGAAGAAGCGCCUCGGCGCGUAAAGCCCUGUCAGCAGGGAAGAAAAUGACGGUACCUGAAGCAGAAGCCCCGGCUAACUACGUGCCAGCCGCCCCGGUGAUACGUAGGGGGCCAGCGUUAUCCGGAUUUACUGGGGGGAAAGGGGGCGCAGACGGCGGUGCAAGCCCGGAGGGGAAGCCCGGGGCCCAAACCCGGGACUGCACUUGGCACUGGGUGGCUGGAGUUCAGGGGGGGUCAGGGGAAUUUCCGGUGUAGCGGUGAAAUGCGUAGAUAUCAGGAGGAACACCGGUGGCGAAGGCGGCCUGCUGGACUGUAACUGACGUUGAGGCCCGAAAGCGUGGGGAGCAAACAGGAUUAGAUACCCCGGUAGUC
rnacentral:rRNA from 1 species